rnacentral:rRNA from 1 species
AGAGCGAACGCUGGCGGCAGGCCUAACACAUGCAAGUCGAGCGCCCGUAGCAAUACGGGAGCGGCAGACGGGAGAGUAACACGUGGGAACGUGCCCUUCAGUUCGGAACAACCCAGGGAAACUUGGGCUAAUACCGGAUACGCCCUUACGGGGAAAGAUUUAUCGCUGAAGGAGCGGCCCGCGUCUGAUUAGCUAGUUGGUGGGGUAAUGGCCCACCAAGGCGACGAUCAGUAGCUGGUCUGAGAGGAUGAUCAGCCUCACUGGGACUGAGACACGGCCCAGACUCCUACGGGAGGCAGCAGUGGGGAAUAUUGGACAAUGGGCGCAAGCCUGAUCCAGCCAUGCCGCGUGGGUGAUGAAGGCCCUAGGGUUGUAAAGCCCUUUCGGCGGGGAAGAUAAUGACGGUACCCGCAGAAGAAGCCCGGCUAACUUCGUGCCAGCAGCCGC